AGCAAUGCACUCUGAAGCCGGAGGGUAGAAAGUGCUGGAAUGCGCGCCCGGGCCCAGGCUGUCGCGAGCCUUCAGCAAGCCAGUGCACACAGAGAGGGCUGCCCAGAGAUCCCGGUCAGCGCUCGCAGUUCGAGGUGGAACAUGUGUGUGCCCUGCGCUAGCCCCAGCUCCCGGAGGGAGGCUGUCUCCCCGGCAAGGGUGCCCACUGCAAGCACAGGCGUGAGAAAUGGCCCAGAAAAGAGUGGUCAGGGCAAUGUGUUCUUGGCACGCCCAGCAAGACCUGCCAGAGGGACCUACAGACGAGUGUCUCCCAGCUAUCUUACCAGCGGGGACCUUGAGGUCCAAGUAUCCAGUCCGGUUAGAAAUGGCCGCGGAUCCAACAGGUGCUGGUGAGUGGGAGAAUACCCCUGAGGGAGGAAGAACAGAGGCCGGGAGGGAGCUGAGUGGAUGUAGAUGAGAAAUACCUGGACAGCUGCAAGCUGUAGUCAGUGAUGGGCAACUGGAACCAGAGAUUCCAGAGAGAGGGAGGGAGAAAGAGGGAGGAGAAGGGAGAAUGAGAAAGAGAGGGAGAGAGAAUGGGGGGGAGAAAGAGGGAGAAUGGGGGAGAGAGGUAGGAGCAAGUUCUGGACCACGCCAAGGAUGGAGCUGUGGUCCUGGAACCAGAUGUCCAGGGAAUGGGAUGAAGUGACACUGGCUGGGGCCGAGGCUGCAGACUGCUGGUGGGAGCUGGCAGGACAAUGAGGAUUCUGAACCAGGUGCCUGAGCCUUCUGUGGAUAUGGGGAGUGACUUGGAUGUCUAUAAAUUCCAGAAAUGAUAGGAGGGAUAGAUGAUGGAGGGACUGUAUUUUAGACAAUAAACAAAUUUCACUCAGUAUGGAUGAGUUUCCUGGGGCUUCUGUCACAAUGCAUCACAAACUGGUUUUAAAAACAACAACUGUUUUAAAAACAACAGAAACGUGUUUCCUCAUAGCCCUGGAGGCCAGAAGUGCAAAAUCAAGGAGUGUGCAGGGCCAUGCUCCCUCUGCAGCCCUGAGGGUUGACGCAUGUCUUGCUCUGCCAGGCCUGCUUGGUGUCCUGGGCUUGCUCAUGCACUGCUCCCAUCCCUGCCUCCAUCUUCACACGACCUUCUCCAGGUGGGUCUCUUCUGCAACAUCCCUGUUGGAUUAGGGACCACCCUAGUGACCUCAUCUUUAGUCGAUCAUCAUCAUGUUUGAUCAAAUAAGGUCACUGUGUUUGUUUGUUUUCCCACUGCUAUUAAUAUGAAGAACUUACCUGAAGCUG
rnacentral:lncRNA from 10 species